UUCAUUUUUAUAGCCUUUAUACAAUACUUUGCCUAUAUGGCGAGUUACUUUUGGUUAAUUAUAAUGAGCUUUGAUAUGUGGUGCACAUUCAGAGGAUUCUGUUCGUUACAAAAAAACGUCAGACAACAA